rnacentral:rRNA from 1 species
GUGGAUUAGAUACCCUGGUAGUCCACGCCGUAAACGAUGAUCACUCGCUGUUGGCGAUACACAGUCAGCGGCUAAGCAAAAGCAUUAAGUGAUCCACCUGGGGAGUACGGCCGCAAGGCUGAAACUCAAAGGAAUUGACGGGGGCCCGCACAAGCGGAGGAACAUGUGGUUUAAUUCGAUGAUACGCGAGGAACCUUACCUGGGCUUAAAUGUAGAGUGCAUGGGGUAGAAAUAUCCCUUCCCUUCGGGGCUCUUUGCAAGGUGCUGCACGGCCGUCGACAACU